GAUGAAGAACGUAGUGAAGUGCGAUAAGUAAUGUGAAUUGCAGAAUUCCGUGAAUCAUCGAAUCUUUGAACGCAAAUUGCACUUUCUGGUAUUCCGGAGAGUAUGCCUGUUUGAGGGUCAGUGUAAUAAAUAAAUCGUGGUUGUUACCACCUUUCGUGGUGACGCUUCGGAAUUGAGUCCUCUUACCCUUCGGGUUAAGUGACUUAAAAUUUUUUCAUACGAUUUCGAAACGUAUUUAAUGUAUUAUGUACGUUCACGAAUAUCGAAUGUUUAUUAGGUGCGGUCAUUUUUCAUGAAUUCGCGUCUAUAAUUUUUUUUUUUUGACCUCAAAUCAGGUAAGAAUACCCGCUGAACUUAAGCAUAUCAAUAAGCGGAGGA
rnacentral:misc_RNA from 1 species